rnacentral:rRNA from 1 species
GGGUCAGUAGGUUGGUCGUGCCUCCGGUACGUACUGGUCUCACUGAUUCCUCCUUCCUGAAGAACCGUAAUGCCAUUAAUUUGGUGUUGCGGGGAAACAGGACUGUUACUUUGAAAAAAUUAGAGUGUUUAAAGCAAGCUAACGCUUGAAUACAUUAGCAUGGAAUAAUGAAAUAGGACGAUCGAUCCUAUUUUGUUGGUUUCUAGGAUUGACGUA